UACGUAGGGGGCAAGCGUUGUCCGGAUUUAUUGGGCGUAAAGAGCGUGUAGGCGGUUUGGUAGGUCCGCUGUGAAAACUCGAGGCUCAACCUCGAGACGCCGGUGGAAACCAUCAGGCUAGAGUCCGGAAGAGGAGAGUGGAAUUCCUGGUGUAGCGGUGAAAUGCGCAGAUAUCAGGAAGAACACCCGUGGCUAAGGCGGCUCACUGGCCCGGUACUGACGCUGAGGUGCGAAAGCGUGGGGAGCAAACAGG
rnacentral:rRNA from 1 species